AAGAACCUUACCUGGGUUGGAACCCCUCAGAAGUCCGCAGAGACGUGGAUGUGCCCGCAAGUUAACUGAGUGUCCAGGUGCUGCAUGGCUGUCGUCAGCUCGUGUCGUGAGAUGUUGGGUUAAGUCCCGCAACGAGCGCAACCCUUGUCGUUAGUUGCUAACAGUUAGGCUGAGCACUCUAGCGAGACUGCCGGUGUUAAACCGGAGGAAGGUGGGGAUGACGUCAAGUCCUCAUGGCCCUUAUGCCCAGGGCUACACACGUGCUACAAUGGACGGUACAAAGCGUUGCUAACCCGCGAGGGUGCGCUAAUCGCAAAAAACCGUCCUCAGUUCAGGUUGCAGUCUGCAACUCGACUGCAUGAAGUUGGAAUCGCUAGUAAUCCCUGAUCAGCAGGCAGGGGUGAAUACGUUCCCGGGUCUUGUACACACCGA
rnacentral:rRNA from 1 species